UAAAAAAAUUGCGGAGACGCAUGUGUGCCUUCGGGACUCUAAGACAGGUGCUGCAUGGCUGUCGUCAGCUCGUGUUGUGAAAUGUUGGGUUAAGUCCCGCAACGAGCGCAACCCUUAUCCUUGUUUGCCAGCACUUCGGGUGGGAACUCCCGGGAAACUGGCGGUGAUAAACCGGAAGAAGGGGGGGACCAACUCCAGUCCUCCUGGCCCUUACGAAUAAGGCUACCCCCGUGCUACCAUGGCCCAUACCGAAGGCGGCCCACUUGCCAGAGUGAACCAAUCCCCAAAAGUGCGUCCUAAUCCGGAACGGAAUCUGCCACUCCACUCCCUGAAAUCCGAAUCCCUUGUAAUCCUGGAUCCAAAUGCCCCGGUGAAUACCUUCCCGGGUCUUGGACACACCGG
rnacentral:rRNA from 1 species